rnacentral:rRNA from 1 species
UACGUAGGGGGCAAGCGUUGUCCGGAUUUAUUGGGCGUAAAGAGCUCGUAGGCGGUUUGGUUAGUCGGGUGUGAAAUCUCCAGGCUCAACCUGGAGGGGUCAUUCGAUACUGCCAUGACUAGAGUUCGGUAGGGGUGUGUGGAAUUCCUGGUGGAGCGGUGAAAUGCGCAGAGAUCAGGAGGAACACCCGUAGCGAAGGCGGCACACUGGGCCGAUACUGACGCUGAGGAGCGAAAGCCAGGGGAGCAAACGGG